GAUGGCUCGUUCAGCGUCCCUCCACCCAUCCGUUCCAUACUGCCAUGGGAGGAGACUAUCUAACGUGGUGUGUUGCGAUUUUGAAAGAUCAGAAAAUGGUUUCGAAAUCACAGUUAGCGUAAAUGUGCAUCUUAAACAAAAAUGCACUUUUAAAAGAAUUGAAACCAAAAUGAAAACUCAAAAGAUUUCUCAAGUCCCAGCAGUCCUCUGUUGACAAGCUGAAGCAGAAGCAUUCCUAAAGCCACUCUGCUUAUAGGUUGUUUUAAAUUUUUUUAUAAACAAUAGCUCACAAUCAAAGGCCCCGAUUCUGCAAUCAGAUCCAUGUGGAUGGCUGCUUCUACUAAUGCGAAGACCCACAGAUGUCAAUGGGGCUCAUUCCACAUGAUCUGACUACAAGAACAGGGAAUGAAUGUGAUGGUGAAUGGGACCUGAUUCUCCACUGCCUUGUGCCUUGUGUAGUUGUUUACUCCUGCAUGGUGAGGGCAAAUGGGUGAGAGACAGAUGUUUCUGCAGAGGACAGGCUGUGAAUAGGGGACUCUAGACUGGGACACCUCCCAGGAGGUGCUGCUCCUGCAUCAUCCGCUGGUCUAACUCAGGACCUGCUGCUUCCACUGAAGAUUCCUUUUCACGGCAUCAAUACCAUGGAUCUCCCACAAGUCCCUUCCAAAAGCUGUGGUGGUGGUGGUGAGUGACUUCUCAUUUCUUAAAACAAAAUCUAGAAGAUGUGAUGCUAUGAACUUUUUGGAAAGAGUCUGUUGCUCUCUAACAUGGAAGCACUAUACCUGCUACACUUUGAGUCUAUUUGAAAUUGCCAGUUUGUCCUGCUUUGGGUGAAUCUGGUGGCAGGUGAAGGAGGUCCUUAACAUACUUUAAGGUGAGUUCCUAAUUCCUCACUUUGUAUCCUUAUCAGAAUAAGCAAUAACAUUGCCUCCCAGUCUUUCAUCACAAGGAAUGUCUCUCUUAUGAGAGCUUUGUCCUCUAACACAUUUUAUGAAAAGUACAUUACAUUCCCUUAAAGAACAAGCUUGGUGUGGUGGCUAGAAGUAAUAGCAUGCACAAUUUGGGAGGCAGCCUGGCCCAGCUGCUGUUAUAAAAGGUAACUUGCUCCCAAUGGUUCCUCUUUAUAUAAUAAUUUUAAUUUCUAAGUUACGCAA